CCUACGGGUGGCAGCAGUGAGGAAUAUUGGUCAAUGGACGAGAGUCUGAACCAGCCAAGUAGCGUGAAGGAUGACUGCCCUAUGGGUUGUAAACUUCUUUUAUAUGGGAAUAAAAUGUUCCACGUGUGGGAUUUUGUAUGUACCAUAUGAAUAAGGAUCGGCUAACUCCGUGCCAGCAGCCGCGGUAAUACGGAGGAUCCGAGCGUUAUCCGGAUUUAUUGGGUUUAAAGGGAGCGUAGGUGGAUUGUUAAGUCAGUUGUGAAAGUUUGCGGCUCAACCGUAAAAUUGCAGUUGAAACUGGCAGUCUUGAGUACAGUAGAGGUGGGCGGAAUUCGUGGUGUAGCGGUGAAAUGCUUAGAUAUCAUGAAGAACUCCGAUUGCGAAGGCAGUUCACUGGACUGCAACUGACACUGAGGCUCGAAAGUGUGGGUAUCAAACAGGAUUAGAUACCCUUGUAGUC
rnacentral:rRNA from 1 species